rnacentral:tRNA from 1 species
GCUUGGGUGGCUCAGUCGGUUGAGCAUCUGACUUCAGCUCAGGUCAUGAUCUCACGGCUUGUGAGUUCAAACUCGAGCCCCACGUC